UCAUGGAUAGCUGGUGAAUUGAGAACUAGAGAAGCAUUAAGAAAUCAUGUUCAUCAAGUAUGGAACGAGUUGGCAUUGAAUGCUGAUUAUACGCAAAAUUUAGUGAAUUCAAUGUCGAGACGACUUCAAAUGGUCAUCGACAAGGAUGGAUUCUGGAUUCCAUACUGAAAUUAUACUUUAUUAGAAGAAGUUCUUGGAACUAUUAAUUAUCAUGGCAAAACCACUCUAAUAACAGCUGUUACCAAAGAUUGCCCGGGUCGUGCCGAUUACAUCAAAAACAUGAUCACAGGAAUAGCUCAAAUGGAUGGUGCUAUACUGCUCGUCGCUAUCACGGAUAGUAGGAUGCCACAAUUCAUCAUUUUUGAUGAUCAAUUGCAGCCGUCUUGAUAUAUAUAUUGAAGUCACCAAAUUUUGCGUAAAAACAACAUUCAAUGUCAACUC